CAGCCGCCACGGUAAAACGAAGGGGGCUAGCGUUGUUCGGAAUCACUGGGCGUAAAGCGCACGUAGGCGGCUAUUCAAGUCAGGGGUGAAAGCCCGGGGCUCAACCCCGGAACUGCCUUUGAAACUAGAUAGCUUGAAUCUUGGAGAGGCGAGUGGAAUUCCGAGUGUAGAGGUGAAAUUCGUAGAUAUUCGGAAGAACACCAGUGGCGAAGGCGACUCGCUGGACAAGUAUUGACGCUGAGGUGCGAAAGCGUGGGGAGCAAACAGGAUUAGAUACCCCCGUAGUCCCUGUCUCUUAUAC
rnacentral:rRNA from 1 species